CGGGAUUUUCGGAUUUUUAAAAAUCCGCGGAUUUUUUAGCGGAUUUUUCCCGGAUUUUUUAGCGGAUUUUUGAAGAGAAAAUCUGUUGGAUUUUCCGGAUUUGUUUGGAUUUUCCGGAUUUGUUCGGAUAUUUUCUGGAUUUUUUGACGAAGCGUACGGGAUUUUCGGAUUUUUAAAAAUCUGCGGAGUUUUUAGCGGAUUU